rnacentral:rRNA from 1 species
GAUCCUGGCUCAGAGUGAACGCUGGCGGCAGGCCUAAUACAUGCAAGUCGAACGGCAGCACGAGUGGAGCUUGCUCCAUGGGUGGCGAGUGGCGGACGGGUGAGGAAUACAUGGGAAUCUGCCCAGUCGUGGGGGAUAACGUAUGGAAACGUACGCUAAUACCGCAUGCGCCCUUCGGGGAAAGUCGGGGACCGCAAGGCCUGACGCGAUUGGAUGAGCCCAUGUUCGAUUAGCUAGUUGGCGGGGUAACGGCCACCAAGGCGACGAUCGAUAGCUGGGUCGUGAGAGGAUGAUCAGCCACACUGGAACUGAGGACACGGGUCCAGACUCCUACGGGAGGCAGCAGUAGGGAAUAUUGGACAAUGGGCGCAAGCCUGAUCCAGCCAUGCCGCGUGAGUGAAGAAGGCCCUCGGGUUGUAAAGCUCUUUUGUUGGGGAAGAAAAGCAGUUGGUUAAUACCCGAUUGUUCUGACGGUACCCAAAGAAUAAGCACCGGCUAACUUCGUG